CGAAGUUUUAAAGUGGUAAUGCGACGUCAACACUUGAAGCACGAAGCUCCCGUCUGGACCUGAAGCUUUCCUGGACCAGUCAGGUCAAAGAAUUCAUUGUGGAAGGGGAAGUCAAAGGGAACACAACAGUCCUCAUCGAAGGAUCAGCAGUGGAAAGGGAAAAGGCGGCACUAUUGUCCUGGGAACGAUAUGGAGAGUCCUUUUCUCCCCCAAGAAAAUUCAAAUGUCUCUGACCAGCUGUAACCCCGAGGAAAGGCAGAGAGAACGAAAGAGAGAGAGCGAGGCGGCAUGUUAAUUUCAAGGUAGCUGCAAAGGUACUUCGUGGAAGCAGAACUUCAUCUUAAAAUGUAAAACCAAGA